GAAAGAUGGUUUCGGCUAUCGCUUACAGAUGGGCCCGCGGUGCAUUAGCUAGUUGGUAGGGUAAUGGCCUACCAAGGCAACGAUGCAUAGCCGACCUGAGAGGGUGAUCGGCCACACUGGGACUGAGACACGGCCCAGACUCCUACGGGAGGCAGCAGUAGGGAAUCUUCCGCAAUGGACGAAAGUCUGACGGAGCAACGCCGCGUGUAUGAAGAAGGUUUUCGGAUCGUAAAGUACUGUUGUUAGAGAAGAACAAGGAUAAGAGUAACUGCUUGUCCCUUGACGGUAUCUAACCAGAAAGCCACGGCUAACUACGUGCCAGCAGCCGCGGUAAUACGUAGGUGGCAAGCGUUGUCCGGAUUUAUUGGGCGUAAAGCGCGCGCAGGCGGUCUUUUAAGUCUGAUGUGAAAGCCCCCGGCUUAACCGGGGAGGGUCAUUGGAAACUGGAAGACUGGAGUGCAGAAGAGGAGAGUGGAAUUCCACGUGUAGC
rnacentral:rRNA from 1 species